UCUAAACUAGCUGAAUUUUCAUACUAACUAUGGCGGAAAAUGAAGAAGGGAGCAAGAGAAAAAUCGAAGAAGAAGUGGACGCCACACAGGCUGCACCAAAGCGAGUACGACUUCAAUCGCAAGAUCUGACGGACUUGUCGAAGGAGGACAUUGUGGAAAGGUUAGUAUCUUCAUGACAGCUAAGAUUGAUCAGUUUUGCUCUUACGCGGAACUUUACCAUGCUUUCACUUACAAUUUGUUCCGUUAAUUAACCGAUCCUUGAGCCUUUCUUUAUAGCUUUACUUUUAUUUCAGUCACGAACGUAGUUUAGAAAGGCUAUGAUUGAUACACGUAUUGCAGAUAUAGAUCAGGCUGGUGAAUUUACAACUGAUAACGGUCGCAAAUGAUACUGGAGAAGCAAUCUGGACUUCUUUAUAAUUUUAAAUUUUAGAGUUUGACGUCAAGUUAUGUUCAUAAUUUGCGGCGAGAAAAUUGGUGACUUCCAAAUUCAUUAGCUAUUUAUUUAGUAAAAGGAACGAAAAAAAAAUGGUGAGAGCUAAGCCGCGAAAGUUACAUCUUGGCCGUGAAAGUAAUGCAUAAGACAGACUUACAUUGUAUGACAUGGGGAAUCUUACUAAGUUUACAUACAAAGCAGUGGUGGUGGUGUUUUAUAAAUCAUGCUGUAUUUUUGUUUAUCAAAAUGGAAAGCCAUUGGCCCAGUCUAAACACAAGGGAAAAGUUAAAAUGUACAUUAUUAGACAGUUUUAAGGUUACUGUAUACCUCUGAAUAGUUUCUAUUUGCAUAAGCCAAACAAUGACCAAUCACAGACACUUUCCAGAUAUCUGCACAGCUAUAGCGUCACUAUUAGGUGUCUUACAUCCAGGCAAUGGAGUAGGUCCUGUUUAAAUUAUAGAUACCUAAACCCCGAUAUCAAAUUAAAGCUUUUAGAGCUGGCUAUCAAACUAUGCCAAGAAUUUUGAAAUA